CUUCCGCUUCCGGUGCGCCGUUUGCGAGGGGAAGCGCUUCUCUAGGCAGUUCGGUGAAGGGCUCUACUGUCCGUUCCCGGGUGUCCCGGGUGUCUCAGCUCGGUCUUGGAGACGCACCCUGGGCAGGAUACUGUCUGGCUGGCACCCCAGGAACAAUAAAUGGCUGCAGGAAUCUCCCCAAAUCUCGGGCCAGUCCGGGACGGGGACCCGUGAGUUCUCCACGAUCUGAGACGGCCACCGGUCACCUUCUGCCUGAGAAUCCACUGGUCUGCUCUUAAUGAGAGGGUUCCGGGCUUAAAGGUCAUCCCGCUUGCACUCGCUACCCCUCUAGCCAUGAAGAUCCCUGUGUACAGCGCAACUCACGGUCAUAGGCAUAGCCAACCCUGCGACAGCCUCCUAGCCCUGAGGACAGCCGUCCUCGUAAAAAAUAGUUCCUGUGUUUUAGUACCAAGCUUUCCAUCCAGCUCAUGAAUACCGUCAUUAUGCUCAAGGACAUUUCUCUAAGACGUGUUUUCCUCUCCCACGGUCUCCUUCCUGGCCCAGGGAGGGGAGGUGUCACAGCUUGGUCACUUGGCCAGAUUAUCUGACUGGGGCUGAGGCAUGAAGCUGCCAGUGAGGAUGUUCUGGGUACGAGUUCGGAUCCUGACAGCUGGAGAUGCUGGUCAGAGAGGCUGAUAGAUGUCCAUACUAUAGAUGUCCCUAGUCCAUCGUACUCACCUUCCUGCCUCACCUUUGCAUUCCUGGGAUGCUCAAGUUUGUUCUUAGGUUUGUUACACACAUCCCAUGUUCUUGACCCAGCACCUUCCCAUUCCAUUUGCCUAUGAACUCAGUGUGUGUAGGUUCCAGGAAACCAAGCUGGAUAUGACAAGUGUUGGGACUCCACCUUGCAGGGCAAGGAAGGGCUGGGAUCUGGAGAAAAGGACCCGGAUGGUCUCACAUCCUCUUUGGUCACUUGAGAAGCAGCUGAAAACUGGACUAAGUGUCCAGUCCUUGGGGUGUCCUCAAGCUGUUCCGGGGAUGCAAGUUUGGGGUGCGAAGAAGAAGCAGUCAUUGGCAGUGCCUGACCAACCAGAUAUGUAGGGCAGAACUGCUGUUCAACUUUAAGGUCUUGUCCUUCACCAUGACCCUGACUGCUUCUGGGCAUCAGCAGUGGGCUCACUGAUUAUUGACAGUUGGUGGCUGAGAUUCAGCACCAUGAAUCCAGCAGUGGCCAUUGAUUCAUAGGGCAGGUGGUAGAUGAGUCCACCCACCUGAGUUGUGAUCUGGGUUGCUGCAGCUCUGGGGAGUGUCCUGUUGGUCAGCCCACUGUGGCAAGUUAGCUUUGGGAGAUCAGCGGCUUCUCCCACUGUCAUACUCAGAAAACGCAUCAGCAAAGACUGUGCCUCUUCCUUCCCCAAGAUUCUGUGGUCCCUAAUCAAGAAAAUGAGAGGUUGUGGAUUCAUUCUGAGUUAAGAAAAAUCCAGUA